AUGAACGCUGGCGGCGUGCCUAAUACAUGCAAGUCGAGCGAACAGACGAGGAGCUUGCUCCUCUGACGUUAGCGGCGGACGGGUGAGUAACACGUGGAUAACCUACCUAUAAGACUGGGAUAACUUCGGGAAACCGGAGCUAAUACCGGAUAAUAUAUUGAACCGCAUGGUUCAAUAGUGAAAGACGGUUUUGCCGUCACUUAUAGAUGGAUCCGCGCCGCAUUAGCUAGUUGGUAAGGUAACGGCUUACCAAGGCAACGAUGCGUAGCCGACCUGAGAGGGUGAUCGGCCACACUGGAACUUAGACACGGUCCAGACUCCUACGGGAGGCAGCAGUAGGGAAUCUUCCGCAAUGGGCGAAAGCUUGACGGAGCAACGCCGCGUGAGUGAUGAAGGUCUUCGGAUCGUAAAACUCUGUUAUUAGGGAAGAACAAAUGUGUAAGUAACUAUGCACGUCUUGACGGUACCUAAUCAGAAAGCCACGGCUAACUACGUG
rnacentral:rRNA from 1 species